GAUUAGCUCAGCGGAAGAGCACCUGCCUUACAAGCAGGUGGUCGCAGGUUCGAACCCUGCAUCGC
rnacentral:tRNA from 1 species